AAUUAGGUGCCACUAGGCACCACAUCAGCGUAACAGUGAAAAAACA
rfam:Nelumbo nucifera unplaced genomic scaffold scaffold00039, whole genome shotgun sequence